rnacentral:rRNA from 1 species
GAUGAACGCUGGCGGAGUGCCUAAUACAUGCAAGUCGAGCGGCAGCACGAGUAGUUUACUACUUGGUGGCGAGCGGCGGACGGCUGAGUAACGCGUGGGAACGUGCCCCAAAGUGAGGAAUAACUGCCCGAAAGGGUAGCUAAUGCCGCAUAUGAUCUUCGGAUUAAAGUAUUUAUUACGCUUUGGGAGCGGCCCGCGUCCGAUUAGAUAGUUGGUGAGGUAAAGGCUCACCAAGUCUACGAUCGGUAACUGGUCUGAGAGGAUGAUCAGUCAGACUGGAACUGAGACACGGUCCAGACUCCUACGGGAGGCAGCAGUAAGGAAUCUUCCACAAUGGACGAAAGUCUGAUGGAGCAACUCCGCGUGCAGGAUGAA